CAAGCAGAGAAGCUCUUCUGAAACACGCAUGCACGCACACACAGCUAUACUAGUGCCAGAACAUUCAUCAGUCAACCUCCAGCCCCAGGCCUGUAGGCCUCGAGCCAGGCACUCGAGUAGUAGCCAGGCUGUCAUUCUGCUGGGCCACAGGCCAAACUUCCAUCAGCUUUGAUGUGAGUUGGAUACCAAAAUGGCAGUAGAGGGAGGCCCCUCAGUGCAGGAGUACCAGAGCACCAGGGAGCUACCAUUGAGCAGCCUUGACCAGCAUGUGACUGGUUUCGGUUCGCCGUGAGUGACUGCUUGCUGACUGCUCGCUGUUGCUGUUGCGAAAAAGCUAGCUAGCUGCUAAGCUAACGAAGCUAGCGCGGAGAAGGCGGCGCCGGUCUGAAGGAAUCUGCCCCCGCAUAUCGCGACCACUUCCCUGAAGACAGCAGGAACUUCACUGGGUGACAGAAAAUACCUCUACACAGGUCCGGUGGCCAUGGAUGAAGUGCUGGCUGUCCAGAGUCGGGACCCGGGGUGGACCGCUCGCCUGUGCAUCGGUUGGGGACAUCUCUGUGCUGCUGACGCUGCCGCUCGAGAUGGUCUCCUGCUGGCCCCACUAUGGACUGGACUCUCACUAUUAUGUUAGAUCCACUAUGGACUGGACUUUCACAAUAUUAUGCUAGACUCACUCGACGUCCACUGCAUUCCGUUUCCCGUAGAGGGGUGGGGGGGUUUGUCACCCACAUCUGCGGUCCUCUCCAAGGUUUCUCAUAUUCAUUCACAUUGACAUCCCACUGGGUUGUGAGUCUUUCCUUGCCCUUAUGUUAGAUCUGAACCGAGGAUGUCGUUGUGGCUUGUGCAACCCUUUG